rnacentral:lncRNA from 1 species
AACAGGUGUUCACCUCAGAGCUGAGGUGUGGCAGAAGCUGAGUGCUGUGAGGGAAAGGCGGCAGGCGGACUUCAAGCAGCCUCCGGGGACGCGUGUUCCUGCAAGCAUGGAGCACUGCUGUGUGACCAUUUGCUCUGAGCGGCUGCAGUACAGGAAAGCAGAGUUUUGGUGAUGCUACUCAGUACAGUUGGAGGCAUUACUUCUGGAGCAGCCCUUGUAUAUGGCUAUUACAUUGUUAUAUCACAAUGCCUUUGGAAAAGCUAUUAGCUGAGCCUGGUGUUGUGUUGGAUACUGUGUGUGUGUGUAUAUAUAUAUAUACAUGUUAGUGUGUAUAUUUAUGUAAAUAGUAACUAAGCAUUAGCUACUUUGUUCUGUGUAAGAACGUGAUAGCAGGGACUGUCUUCUCAUUGUGGACACUUGAUAUAUAGCAGUAAUUGCUGUCUCUUGUUAUUGCACAAGCCAUCCACAGUCAACGUACAUAGGAAAUACAGUAGCUGUUUUAUACGUAAGGAGCUCAAAAUGCCAAAUGCAGUGAAAAGAAUAUAACUUUUUUUUUACACUGCAGUGAAUUACUGUUAGCACAGGGCCAGUCUUUGCACUGAUGGAGAUUAUGUAAACGUUCAGAGAUUCAUUAUCACUUUGUUAAGCAUUUCCAUCCACAUAUGAAUCUUGUUACAAAGGGGACAAGAAAUGAAUACAGCUGUUUUGCAAUGAGCCCACCUGGCACUUUUGCUGUGACAUUGUGCCAGCCAUACUCUCAAUAUACUUUACAGGUGUUUCAUACUUUCCUCUCUUCAUGCUUGAGGAGAGGGAAAUCUCACUGUCAGACUUACCAUCUGCUCUUGGUGUUAUCUUGACUGGUUUUAUGGCUCAGGAGGGAGCAUUGCUCCUUCAAUGAGUUAUGAAUCUCUAAUGCAGUUCAUUGUAUUGUUGUGAGGUUUUAUGGAAUCUGCCUGGUGGCCGUUCUGUUCUUGUCUUGGAGAUUCGGUUAUCUUUCUAAGGACGCAUGACUGUAUGUGUGCCGAGACUUCAGUAAAUAAACCACAGAGCCUCAUCACUGGGAUAGUCUUUACAAACGUUUUGUGAUCUCUCAUGAUCCAUAAACUUGCAUACUGUAAAAUAAAGCUUUCCUAUGAG